AUUGAACGCUGGCGGCAUGCCUUACACAUGCAAGUCGAACGGCAGCACGGGAGCAAUCCUGGUGGCGAGUGGCGAACGGGUGAGUAAUAUAUCGGAACGUGCCCGGUCGUGGGGGAUAACGUAGCGAAAGCUACGCUAAUACCGCGUACGAUCUACGGAUGAAAGCGGGGGAUCGCAAGACCUCGCGCGAUUGGAGCGGCCGAUAUCAGAUUAGGUAGUUGGUGAGGUUAAAAGGCGUCACCCAAGCCGACGAUCUGUAGCUGUCUGAGAGGACGACCAGCCANACUGGACUGAGACACGGCCCAGACUCCUACGGGAGGC
rnacentral:rRNA from 1 species